CCCCAGUGUUUUCUGUUUUCCCAGCCAUUUUCUACGCCUCUGCAUGCUUGUAUGUUCACGUUUUCUGGCUUUCAUGAUUUGUUCCUGGGUCUCAAUCCCUGUAGCUCAGACGUGUGAUCCACAGGUCAGGGAGGUGAUCUCUACCCCUGCUCUGCUCUCGUGAGGUGCCCAGCAGAGCCCUGGCUCCAGCUCUGGUGUCCCCAUCCAGAGCAAGGCAAGGGAAUGUCAGAGAGGCUCCAGAGGAAGGCAAGGAAGAAUAGUCAGAGGGAUGGAACACCUCUCCUGUGAAGAGAGGCUGCGGAGCUGGGGUCAUUCAGCUUGGGCAGAGAAGGCUCAAGGGAGAUGCUGUAGGAGCCUUUCAGUACCUAAAGAGGGUCAGAAGAAAGAAGGAGAAAGAAUUUUGCCGGAGUUUGUAGUGACAGGAGAAGUGAUUAUGCUUUUAAUUGAAAGAUGCUAGACACAGAUUGCACACGAGGGGGAAAUUGUGAAGCUGAGGGUGCUGGGACACUGGAAUGGGCUGCCCAGAGAAGUUGCAGAUGGAAGUGUUCAAGGCCAGAUUGGAAGGGGCUCUGAAAAACCUGACCUAGUGACAGAUGUCCCUGCCCAGGCUGGACUAGAUAAUCCUUAAAGGACCCUUCAAACCCAAACUACCCUGUGAUUCCAUGAUUCUGUAUUUGGGUAAUGCUCUAGAUGCUGAAGCUCAGCGUGGCUCAUUUUAGGAAAUGGAAAUGGAUGUCAAAAAAGCCUCUUUCAGUCAAAUCAGGGUGAAGUGGGUGUCUCAAGCAGAUGUUUUGCUCUUUAAUCACCCCAAUCUGCCACCUUACACAACCAAGUGGGUUACAGCCAAAACAUGAAAAUAAAAUCAGUGCAAUGUACUGCCUUCAGCUGCCAUAAUUUUCUAUACAUUAAUACUGAUAUUGAGGACAUCAGAUUGCAGCAAAAUCACAAGAAGAAAAUAAGACCCCACCUCUUCUUUGAGUGAAGGGUCUGUGGAUAACUCCAUCUCCAGUACCCAGCCCUGUGUUUGAAUUAUGAUUGCAUACAGACAUGCAUGAUUUCCAUGUGAUACAUGAUGCUUGAAGUGCUGGAAUUCUAAAAUUGUGGACAUUUCAGUAUUGAAUGUUUUUUUUUCCAUCUGUAGCUUUUCCUGAAGUGUAAUGGAAAGAUUUAUUUCUUCCUAGUUUGAAAACAAACCGACUGUAACCUGUGAGACAGAAAACAAUCCACUCUCUUGUGUAAACUGAGAAAGAUGAAAAGUACAAGCCACGAUUUUCUCCAGUCAAUCCACCCCUGUGCUGAGGAUAUGGCAUGAAUAGGGAAUGGCAUGAAUUUAACCUGCCCUCUUUGCAGCUUUUCAGUGCCUUUGUAUUCUGCAAGUCAUUUGAAGAGGAAAGGAUGACUACUGCUCUGGGUAUUCCUGCUCCAGUAGUGCAUGGCAAGAUCAAUUUGGGCAUUAAGCUUUAGCUUUUACCCUCUUGCAAGCCUGCCAAGCUCAAGAAGACAAGUUUACACAGUACCUGCUCAAGCUGUUACCUGCUUCUGGAGCAAAAUUCAGAUGACAGGAGUGAAUCCAUUAAGUGCAAAAGAGCUGACCAGACUUAGAGCAACCUCCAAGGAAAGGUUAACUCUGAGUUCACUGUGCAAGCUAAAAGAAAAAUUGCUGCUGCUAACAUUUAAAAUAAGCACACUGAACAAUUUUACUCUUGCACUGGAAUAUUUUUUCUGAAAAUUGUCUCAUUUUGCUUAAAAGGUACAACCCUUUGUUGCUGGUUUUUUUUCUUUUUCUGAAACCCAAUGUCCAUCACGUGUAGACAAAGAUUGUUACUGAUGAAUGAGUGGUGAAGCAGAAAGCACACAAACACAUAUGAGGUUGUGGCCUGAGGGAAUUCUCUGAUCCUAAAGCAGCCACAGUGUUGGUGAAGAGAGCCAUGGGAGAAAAUUCCCUCAGAACUUAAGGCUCUGGUGACAUUCAUCCCAGGGAUUUGAAUGAGAAUACAUCAUGCAUUCAUACUGAAGCUCUUUCCCUUCUGACCAAAGGCAGAAAUCACUUUGGCAUUCUGAAGGGAGAGGUCAGCUCACCUGGCCAAGCUGCUGUGACUGAUAACAUGAAAUGCUGGUAAUGAGAACAAAUUGGACAACACUGGCAAAAGUGUGAACUUUUCCUUGUGUUUUUAGCCCUGGUUGGUCAGAACAGCCCCAAGGCAGAAUGUCGUUUUCAUCUUUGGUAAGUUUAUCCCUCCUCCUCUGUUAGCAGCCGCUUUAGGUACUGAGCAUGCACCUACACCCACACCAGUAGCCCUGAGAAACAAGGCACAGCAGGAGCAGAAAUGCCAAACCAUCACGGGCUGCUCUGGAUGGAGGGUCUGAGCUCCUUCACAUUCCCAGGCUGUUUAAAUACAGCCCAUAUGUACCUGGGAACGUGCCCAGAACACAAUCGUUCUGUACCAAAUACGGCUUUGUAGGAUCUCUACAGGGACAUGUGCAGCUACAUGAGUAUUUUAGUUUGGUUCUUUACUCUGCUGAAGUUGAUGCCCUGACUGCCCGUGCUCACCUUCAUGUGAUUUGUGCUAUUGAGCGGGUUCAGAGCUUUCAUGGCAUCUGGUUGGAUGAAAAUAACGUGAGAAAAACUACUCUGGGAAACCACCAAAUGAGUGCAAACUGCAGAUGGAAGACGAGCCCACGAUCAAGCUGGAGCCAGUCUAGAGCAGCCAGGUGUGAUUCUCACUUGCCUUUGGCCCUCCAUGCCAGCAGUUUCAUUCUACAGAUCUACUCCCUUCAUCCCUUUGCCAGUUUGUGCAUGGAACAGAAAGCAAGAACAAGGCUACAGCCUCCUCCCCCUUCAUUGUGCACUUUAAGAGCAAGAAAUUUCUGAGAAAGCACCAAAAAGUGGUUUAUACUUAGCUACUGACAGAGACCAAAGAAACAUAGGCAAUAAUUCUGGAGUGAACUUUUUCUCAGAGACCAGAAAAGCUAGUAGCUCUAAAAGUAAAUAUUUCAGUGGAUGCCUCCUUCCAGAGAUCUGCAGUGUCGACAGAAUGUAAUUAUGUGCAACUGGUGCUUUUUUGUUCAAGGAACAGUAUAAAUCACAGUAAUUUGUGUUUGAUUUUUAAAGAACAUAUUGUAGAUUUGGGCAUGAAUCAAGGAGAAUGCACUGGCUGAACUCUUUAGCUCUUAUUCAUUUGUUUGCAUUGAUUUUUCCAUGAUUGUGAGUGUUUUUUCUAUUGUAUAGAGAAAACAAUAUGGGAGACAUCUGGUGGCCAUUAAUUAACUGAAACUCUCUCAUUUAUUGUAAUAGUUGGUUGAUCUACUACUAAGCUUAUAAAUGAGCAACUACAAUUUUAAAAUUCAGGGUAAUGUAUCACAAAUCCACCCCUAAUUUAUUUGCUACUUAGUUUUAAUUAUUUAUGCCUAUUCAUAGUGUAUUGGUCAAGGGCAAAGAACUGUUGUAACUGCAAAUGCAUCAGAUUAAUGUUACCAGAAACCAAGUUCUUAACUUUGAAGAACUUUAGAGACAAAUUAGGGCCUUGACCAGACAACUCAGAACUAUCUCUACUUAUCUACUCUCUACAUAUAUUUUUAAUUAAUAAAAAAUGAAUUAUUUCAUCUAAAAUUACUUAUUUAUUUAUACUUUUUUUAUAUGUGUGAUUGAUAGGAAUAGGUGACAAAACAUAAAGGAAUCAGUGGACAUUACGUCAUUUGAAUUACUAAAAUAAGCACUUAUAAUAAAUAAUAAUGUCAAUUUUCUAACUGAUCUCUACAUUACAUCAUUUGAAUUACUAAAAUAAGCACUUAUAAUAAAUAAUAAUGUCAAUUUUCUAACUGUUCUCUAGCUUGGCAUCUUCAUAUCUGUGUGUAUGCACCUGAGUGUGUAAUGAUAUAUUUAUUCAUUUUUUGCUUUUGCUCACAUAUUGAAGCAUCUCACUUCAUUCUUUAACAAGGUAGGUAAGAUGUUAAAAUAACUAACUCUUCAUGAAGGGACUUUUUCCUCUUCAAAACACAAAAGUACUGUCCUUUUUCUCACCCCAUUUCUUGGGAAAAUACUAAAUAAUAGAUGCUGAACACAUUCAGAAAAAUUGAUGUGUCCAUGGCAGGCAAAGAAAGAAGUGCAGCUCAUUUUCUAACAUCUAGAAGCCAUAGUCAGGGUUUUUGCAGAGGUGCUGCUGUGCUGCCCUGACUGCCCCUGCUUAAGGCAGCGUGGCUCAAAAUCUGCACCAAGACUUUGCCUCCAGCAUCAAAGCAAGAGCGUGGCCUCGGGAGAAGGAAUGGGAGCUGCACCCUUGCUUUUAGGAUCUCAAUCAUAUGGUAUCUUCCACUCAUGGGAGGGGAAUAGAAGGAGAGAGAAAUUGAAUAUUUCUGGGAAAACCUUCCAGCUCUCUCUCUCAAAUGCCACAACUUGCUCAGCUUCACCCACAGCCGUGCGGUGGUGGUGGCAUCCUCUCAAUGUCCCUGGAGGACAAAGCCAGACUUGAGAGUGUGCAAACCCAGGGCCCUGGGAAUAUUUCUCUGUCUGCCCUGGGGUGCCCUGAGCCCCAGGGCAGCACUGACUGUGACCUUCCUUCAUGGAGAAAGUUUCCCAGACUUCAAAAUUGACUGGAAUCCA